UCACAAACUUUUAUUUCUUCCUUCAACCUAAUGAUUUGUUCCUUCAAAACUACUUCCUUCAGUUGAGCUUCAUCAUAGAAAUUCUUUGCCUCGGAAAUUUUGGAACCAAAAGUAAUGGCCACCUCAUUCCCACGAGCUUCAUGUUCUGCCAACUUUUCAGUGGUAGCAAAGCCUUGCUUAAAGGUGCAUACAAUGCUUGGGAACUCUUGUUGCAUAAUGCCAAUAAUAUCUUUGAGUCCAUCUGACAGAGUUACAUCUUUAAAAGGAAGGUUGGACAGGAAAUUAAGAGCAGACAAAAGACUAAUGAUAUUAGUCUUCGAGCUAACUAUGUCCUUCAGAGACAUCUUUAGAUACUUUUCCAACUCAACAAGGGUCUUUCCAACUAGGUUGUCUUCACCUUCUUUCCCCACAACAACUGGUGCAAAUAAACUCAUGAUAUCAUUGGCCCCAAAGUCUUGAAUAAUUUUAGGUUGGCCUUCACUUUCUUUAGCAGUGCGUGUCUCAGUUUGGCUGCUCCAAAUUUCACUCUUGGAGGAAUAAGAAGAAAAUAUAACAGAAAAGACGUUAGCAUCAAGCCACAACAGUUGCAAAGCAUUGAGUUCCUUAAACCAUUUUUUAUCAAAGCAUAUUUGUGAGAGUGAUAGUAACAAAUUCAUUAAAUUUAAAUUCCAACUUGAAAUUUAGUACUUUUUGUUUUUUAAUUCCACUCCUAUGGCAAAUGAUAAAUCAAAAUGGUAACAUCAUUUUUAUGAUGAUCAAAUAUGUUGGAAUUGUGAUUUGCAAAAUAAACUUCCAUGUGGAUGUGAUUUAGUUUGGAAAGUAAAUAUUUGGUCCAACUGUGAGCUAGUGUAUUCGGAAUGAAUUGAAGAAGCUGUCAUACUGGUGUUCUUUUUUAUGGUUUCCUCUACAACUUCUCGCUCAAUACUCUGCAUACUCUGACAGAGAAAAUUCACACAACCAACAUAGAGAUACAACUUCAAAUUCACAAAAAGUGAUAGAUUUUCUCUGGGCAUUAACAAAGUCAUUUAAGACUUUUAAUUUCAUUCAUUUUUUACAUUACAUAGUCAAGAAGUUAAAUGAUCAUACCUCUUAGGAUUCUCAUUCAUUUGUCUCUCCGCAAUCUCCUUUCUCAACUUAGGAUCCCUCGUCAAAACAUGUUGACGCAUUUCAUCUACCCAUGAACUCUCAAAUCCAAUCUCAAGAGCUUCUUCGCAUAGUUUAUGGAACUCUUUUUCUCUUUGAGGAAUAACAUCGUCAACACUUUCUUUCUGAACGAACAACAACAUAUCUGCCAACAUUUUCAACCUCCAAGCUUGAAAGCGCUCACUAAACUUCUCGCUAACAUUCCAAAGAUGAGGAUAUGUUGUAAUUGCCUCCACCAGAAGAGCAAUUUGUGCAUCAUCCAGAUCAACAAAAUGUUUAUAUGUUCCCAAUCUUGUACGGAUAUCUGCAGAAGCUAUAAAAAGUUUGAAAGAGUGAUAUGAAAAUAUAGGAUUGAAACAAGAAAAUAAGAAAUAAAAAACCUGGAGAGAUGUCAAUAUUGUUGUUAGAAACAAUAUGUAUCUCCUCUUGUUUUUCCAAUAGGUUCAAACCUUCUUCUACUUUGAUUUCUUGGCUUGACAUGAUUCUUGCAUUCCCUUGAUCAUUCAUCUUAUCAUCUUGUUCAACAACCUUGGAAUCUUGUGCAUGUAUGUCCACGUCACCAAACUCAAUGUGAGUUGCCACACCACCUCCAAUGCUAAUGUCUUCAACACCAGUUGACAAAGGUUUUGUCUUAUCACCCUCUGUUGAAGGCCCCUCACGACCUCCAUUAAUGUCUUCACCAAUAGUUAACAAAGGUUUUGUCUCACCCUCUACUGAAGGCUCCUCUUCAAUGCUCUCAUUUCCAAUGUUUCCAAUCUCCUAUCACAAAUUGAUAAAAUACUAUUGAGUGAGAGUUUAUAAAGUUUGAAAGGACCACUAUUUUUAAUGUACAUCAUGUGGUGGUAUGAGAGUAGUUUGAUAAUUUUUAAUGGUUUUGUUACUAUUACUUCUUCAAGUGCAUGUUUGUCUUAAUAUCACCAAAUUCAUUUUAGGUUUAGUAAUUAUUACACCUAUAUGCUAAGGUAUUUUAUGCAGAGAAUACACUUUACAAUGCUCAAGCUAAGUUUUGUAAGGUAACUCUCAUUGUGACUAUACUUAUUUCUUCUUCAUAUUUAGUUUUUAAUUUCAAGUUCAUUCCUAAUUAGUUGACAUAUGAUGAUAUUAUCUAAUGCAGUUCCUUCUUCGACACCACUCAAUAUUCUGCAAUCUGCAUAAGUCCAGAAGAUGUGAAAUUUGGUAUCUGCAUAAUGUAAACCGAACACUUAAAAAAAAUUAAAAUAAAAAUCAAUUUUAAAAACAAAAAUUAAUUGGUAACUAUAUUAACUAGAUUUGAUAUUAUCUUAAAAACUAAAAAUUAGUAGUAUUUAAAGUUUUUUAUAUUAUUAAUAAAAUUUGUAAAUUAGUUUUUAUAUUGGUAUAUAAUUAGCUAAAAUAUUGGUAACUAAUUAGAUAUCAAUAUAAAAACUAAUUUAUAAAUUUAAUAAUAAUAUAAUCAAUUUUAGAUACUAAUAAUUUUUUUAGUCUCUAAAAUAAUAUAUAAUUUAAUUAAUAUAGUAAUUAAUUAUUUUUGUCUCUAAAAUUAAUUUUUAUUUAAUAAUUUUCUUAGUGAGAAAUAAUGAUUGUCUCUCAAAACAUAGAGCAUUAUUUUAAGAAAUUUUAAUUUAAUUCUUUAAAUUUCAAUGUGUUACAUAUCUUUUUAAAACUUUUCUCAAUUUUUAUUUUAAUACUAAUAUCUUACAAAAUUCACACUCUUAUUCACACUACAGGUAAAUUAAUAAAUACUAGUUUUAAAGACAAAAAAUAAUUAAUUACUAUAACUAUAUUAAAAAUAUUAUUAGUAUUAAAAAUAAUUUUUAUUAAUAUUAAUAAAAUUUAUAAACUAGUUUUUAAAUAUCAAAUUAUAAACUAGUUUAUAAAUUUGAUUAACAAUAAAAAAAUUACUUUAAAUAUCAAUAAUUUUUUUAAUUUCUAAAAUAAUAUCUAAUUUAGUCAAUAUAAUAAUUAAUUAUUUUUUAUUUUAAAAUUAAUAUUUUGUUAAUGAUUUUCUUGUAGUAUAUUUUAUUUUAUUUCUAAAAAAAAAUAUUUUUAAGAUAAAAAAAUAAUUUUUUACUUUUAUGAUUCAGGUACUUAUUUAAAAUCUCAAAUCUUAUUUUUCUAUCACGUAAGUUUAAAUUAAAAAAAUCCUAAUAAUGAGAGAAAAAGGUUAUUAAACUUUUUUUUAAUUGUAUUUAGAUUCAUAGAUUGGUUGGUUCUGACCUGUGUUGAAGUGAACUCACUGCUACAACUAAUACUAAAAUCUUCAUCUAAACUUCUCAUCAAGUGAUUUAUCUCCCAUAACCAAAGUCCAGUCCUUUUGAAAUCUGUAACGAAAAAUACAUAAAAAAGAAACGCAACCUCAGCUUUUCAUGAUGAAUAAUUAUAUUAUUACAACUAAAUAUAACAAAUGAUUUAAAAAGUUUCAUCAUAGGAAUUUUUUUUAUCACCCAUCAAAAUAAAGGAUCGAUCGUUUUCUUUAACAGUUCUUCCUAACUACAAUUACUAGAGCUUAAAAUUAAAAAAAAAAUCAGCAAAUAAUAAUUUACUGUGUUUAUUUUAAAAAAUUUAGUAAAUACUCGGUUGGAAAUUUGAAACAGUCUUAUCUGAAUGAAAUAGUUAAUUUGUAAGGAAAUAUAGUAUUUACCAUGAUAAGGAAAAGUUUUCUUGAGUUUCUCCAGAGUAGUUGUUGGAGUCAAAGAUAGUUUUGGACAUUCGUAGACAACACAAUUCUUUAAAUGGGACAAUUCAAACUCUUGGUUGAGAUUUGAAAGAUGCGUAAAUAUUAAAACUUUGAGUCUUGGAAGUUCAAUUUUUGUUUUUCCUAUCUCAUCAUCACCUUUUCCUUGUCCACGUCUAACAAACUCUUCUAGUUUAGAGGCUCCACUUAUGAUUAAAAGAUAAAGAUUAGGAAAGUCAUUAGAUGCAGAUCCAGAGAUAAAUCUUUUGAGUUUGUGGCAAUGUCCAACAUACAAUGCUUCUUGUUUUGGGAAGAAUGCCUGAGGAGAAAGAAGACUAGACAAUUUGUUAUCCUCCACAUCCUCUUCAAUGAUUACUCUUAAUUCUUUGCAUUUUCUUAUCUUCACAAUACUCAACAUUGGUAGGCAUCUUAAAUCAUACUUUGAAAAGAUUACUUCCAAUUUUGCACAUCCAAUAAUUUCUAAUUUUUGAAGAUUUGAGAAGAUAAGAGAAUUGUUUGGAGCUCCUUGUUCACAUCCAACAAUCUUCUUCAAUUUCAUGCAUUCUUUUAUUAUUAGCUCUUUCAACUCUGGUAAGCUUCUUAAAACAGAGGGAGGAAAUAUUACUUUCAAUUUUGCACAUCCUAUUAUUUUUAAUGUAGUAAGAUGUUGGAGAUUAACUGAAAUCUUGGAAGCCACCCAAAUAUAAGUCAUUUGAGGUAUAUUUUCCAAUUUCAAACGCUCUAACCUUAAGCUCACUUGUUGCCCAAUCAUUCCAUCUCCAUUAAGACAAAAAAUACCUUCUACUUCAGAAUUGGUUACAGAUAUAUUUUGCAAAGUGAGAAGAGGGUUCUGAACCCCUUUUGGAUCCUACAGGACAUUCAUAGGAAAUGAAAAAACUCCAAAAAGAAAACAAAAAAGGAACAAAUAACUAAUAAUCAUAAAAAAAAGACAAGACUACCUUCUUACUUGCGUUGAUAGGUUCUCUUGAAUCUGCAGGAGCCGUCAAGCAAUUAAUAGAAUUAUAAAACGGAUAGGCACAUUUAUAACAAGUAAACUCCUUCAAAGAUGGCCACGUCACGGUGAGAUUGUUGGUAGCACAAAUGCUAACAAAAUUUGGUAGAUUAUCAAGAGAGAGUAUUUCCAAUGCUGAGAAAUGAAUAUGCAUCUCCUCACAAUCCUUAUUAGCUGCGAAAUAUUGGCCAAACAUAUAUGUCAAUUGGCCACAAUCACGCACUGAGAGGUCUCUUAAGUUUGGGAAGAUUGCAUUCAAAUUCUCUUUGCCAUAUUCAUCCUCAGUGUCUAUAAUGUGCUCAAGUCCGUGACAUUGCUCGAUUCUCAAGAUUUCCAACAUCAGUAAUGAAGCAAUGGACAAUUUAAAAAUGUACUUUACCUUAUCAAAGCCAUUCAUGUUAAUCUCUCUUAUGUUAUGCAUAAUAAUCAAGGUCAAACCAUGUGGUGGUUUUGAAAUAUAUUGAACACUUUCAACUGGGAAAAUAGAAUCUGAGUUCGAUAUCUGCAAUACAUACACCAAGUUACUUGUUAAACCAAACUAAUUAGUGUCUUAACUUUAAUUAUUAAUGUAUUUCAUUUCUAACAAAUAAUUGUUUAUGAAAAUAAAUUAUUUUUGUUUAGCACAACAAGAAAAAGUUGAAAAGAGAAUAAUUUCACAAAAGUAAUCUAUUCCAAAUAAUCUAUGCCAAUACUUAGAUAUUAAAAAAUUCAUGUUGCACCUUCGGUAUAGUGCUUGUAAGACCAACUUUUAUUUUUAGCACAAAAUGAUCGUGCAAUUCAAAUGUUUUGAGUAAUUUUUCUAAAUACACGAAGAGAGAGACAAAGUAAGUGAUGAUAAUCAUACCUUGAUUGCAAUAUAAUCCUCUUGUCUAGCUUUUGAAGAAUCUGCUGAACAAUUUAUAGUGAAAAACUCAACACAUCUUCCAGUAGUCAAUGAUAGUUUUCCUAAAGAUGGACAUCUUACAUGAUAAUUGCCUAGAAGAGAGUUAUCCAUGAUACGAACAAGUACGAGUAUUUCUAAAGCAGGAAGCUCAAUUUGAUUAUUAUUUUGUUGUUGACUUGAAAGAUCUUUCAAAUUAGAAGCCUCUUUAUUUCCUAUUUCCAUGCCUCCAACAAAAGAGAUAGGGAACAUACAUUGCAAUAAGUCACAUUCACUGAUAUUUAGCGUUUUCAAACUUUGGAAGAUUGAAAUAUCACUCUGAAAGUCAUGGUCAUCCUGGACAAUGUUUUCCUUCUGUUGAUUGACCCUUUCAUGAGUUACUAUAUGUUUCAAACUAUUGCACCUUUUUAUGAUCAACACUUCCAAAAAAGUCAAGGUCUUAGCUAUAGAUGCUGUAAAAAUUGAGCCUAACUUCGGACAAUCGAUUAUCGUAAGGCUUGCAAGGCUUGAUAAAGUUCCUGAAAAGCAAUUAUAAAUAAGAAAAAUAUCGCUCAACAUAUUAGAGUUCGUUAUAUAUAUGUUAUGUGUGCAAGUUACAUUCUAAUUUUGAAGACAUUGGUUUCUAGGGACGGAACUGCAAUCCUAAGCAUCAAACGAUUCGUUAAUAAUGAUGAAAAGAAUCAUACAAAACAAAUUUUUUUAAAAUAAUUCGAAAUUAUCUAAAAAGUUUAAAAUGCAAAUAUAAUUGUCUUUAAUUUUGAUUGGAGACAAAUUUUGCUCAUAGUGCAUUAAGAAGUAGUAGGUUUAAGUAAAACUAGAUUAGUAAUGUCUUGAGUUUGAACCACGUGAAUGAAAAAUAACAGAUUAGCAGUUUUCAUCUAACUUGUAAAUAACUUCAACUAAGCAAUAACAUGUAGACUUCUUAAUAUGUACCUGGGCUAUGGUUCAAAAUUGUUGUUGAUGGAGUUGAAGUGCUAUACAAAUGUGGAUGCUUACCUUCCUCAACGAUUUCAGCAAGUUCUUCUUUUUUAUCCUGGUAUGUUAAUGGAUCAAUAUCCCCAAAUAUUUGAUCUAACAUGUUGCAUUCUUGUAUAUUGAGCACUUUCAAUUGAGCUAAGCCUUUUAAAACACUGGUCGAGAAUAUAUCUUUUAAUUCUCUACAUCUAUUUACCUCUACUUCCUGAAGAUUUUGGAAGAUUUGUACAGGAUGCCCAAUGGUGAAUUCACAUUGAUUUUUCUCUCUUUUCUCAUCAUCUGCUAAUAUAUGUUUCAGUCCAUCACAUUCUGAUAUUUUUAAUAUUUUCAAUUGUACCAAACAUCGAGCAACGACAUACGUGAAGAGAGAUGUCAACCGUGGACAAUCACUUAAAUACAACUCCUCUAAGUUCUCAAAAGGCCCAUUGGCAGGUUGAAAACAAUGCCAUAAAGCUCUUAGACUUUUCAUGUUAUUCAUUCUGAGCGUAUGCAACUUUGAGAAGAAAGUUACCACCUCACUCAAAUGGUUACUAGUUUCAAUCAAGCACUCUAUCUCUUCAGAAUCCUGUAUCUCAAACUUAUUCAGUUCAUCCAAACCUCCUCCUUCAAUUUGAAAUAUAUCAGGGAUGAUAUUUUUUGCGCCUCCCUGAAUAUUUGCUACAACUAGAUCUGUUGCUUUUUUUGCCAAACCCUUAAUUACCUCAUUUGAUAUGUCAAAAUGGUUAAGUAAUAGAGUUCUGGAAGGAGGGUGAAGAUAAUUAUAAUUAUAAUAAAAGUCAUUGUAUCCCAAUACAAUUGCAUACCUUUGCAAUGUUUGGGGGACACUAAACGUGUUAAAGAAUUCAAUAUUGUCUUCACUGUUAGCUUUCCAUUUUUCUUCAACAAUGUACAACUCUUCUAGUCGUGGGGUUCUUUUUAUCACUUCAAAAUUCUUCCCUUUCAUUUUACAUCUGUAGAACUGUAACAAUUUUAAGGUUGUUAUUUGUGUAAUUGCAACAUUGGUUUGUAAUUCAGGAAAUGAAGGCAAUGAACAAUCAUUCAUCGAAAGACUUUGAAGUUUUUUCAUAUUGUUUACAAAUGAGAAGUCGCUCAAUUCAUAGCCAGAAAUAACUAGAUAACGAAGAUUCGUUAAUGUUUUUAAAGACAUUGUGGACAAUGGUGUUAUUCCAACAUUAUCAUUGGCUAGAAUUAAAACUUUGAGAAUUUCCAUUCUUUUGAAGAUUCCAUCAAAUUCUUCCAAUUUUGUCUUUAAGAAUAAAAACUCAAGAUUUGAACAAUCCAAAUCAUUUGGAAAUUUUACACACCAUAGACAUCUUAUUGAAUUUUGUUCAAUAGUCACAUCUUUUUCCACUUCGCACUUGAUGAUCUUAUUCUCAUUCUUUGCUAUCAGGUGGGCCACAUCGCGAACUAAGUCAUGCAUUUUUACACAUUCAUUCUUUUCAUCCAACAAUAAACAAGAACUAACGAGCUUAAUUUUGGUUGCAACCACUUCACUCCUUGCCUCCUCAUAAGAGUGUGCUUCUCCAACUACACCUAAUCCUAUAGCAUAUCUUGUUAAAGAUUCAAUUGGAAUUUCAUAAUCUUCAGGGAACACAGAACACAAUAGGAAAAGUGAUUUAGCUUCUUUAGUAUCCAAAUUAUCAUAGCUCAGCUGCAAGCACUUGUAGGGAUCAAUCAAACCUCUUUCAAUAUUUACUGGCUUAGAACUUCUCAAUUUAUUCAAUGUAACACUCCAUAUCGUCUCAGCUUUUCCCUUCAAACUACUGGCAACAGCUGCAACGGCAACAGGCAAUCCUUUACACUCAUUGGAAAUUAAUUUACCCAUAUGCUUUAAGGUAUCAAGGGUGUCUUCAGAUAUAAGGGCUUUAUUUUGAAAAAGAGUCCACGCUUCUUCAUCCGUUAAAAUUGGCAGGUAAAUCAUUCUUUGACAAUCCAUUGAAGUACAAACUUCUUCUGAUCUAGUGGUAAUGAGAAUCUUGCAACCUUUAUGGUGUUCAGAGGAGGGAAUUCCAAUGCCACCAUAGUCAAGUUUCUCCCACACAUCAUCUAGAAUUACAAGAAUGUUUUUCUCCUGGUUUAAUCUCAAGCACAAUCGUUGGGCCCUCUCCAUUACUUCAGUUUCUGGAAAUGUAUACUGCAAUGAACUUGCAAUUUUUUCUUGAAUCCUUUGAACUUCCACUGUACUAGAAAUAGGCACAAAAAGAACUUUUUCAAAACAAUGUUCUGCUUCUACUAACUUCUUAACCUCCAUUGCUAAUGUGGUUUUACCACAACCCCCCAUCCCAUACAAUCCAAUCAUGGAAACAUCAUUAUUUUUCACUGCUUCCAGUAGUUGCUCAUAUGCAGAUUGUCUACUCUCAAAAUUCAUGGAUUUUUCUAAGAGAAUAUCAAGGGUGCCUGAAGGAAGUGUAGCAAUGCGGUCAAAUGGCACAUAAUGUCUACCCUUUUCGAUGAACUUUUCAAGGUCCACUGUUUUAUUUGCUAACUUUUUUCCUACACGGUAUCGCCAAAUCAAAUUUGGACAAUGCCCAAAGCAACAGAUUUUUUUGGCUUUUGCCUCUUUCAACAACUGAUUCACAUUGUCUGCAUCAUUGAUAGCAUCUUGCAGCCACUUGUCAACAACUUCACUGGUCUUUCUUGUUUGUUUCUUUGCAUUUGUAACAAAUUUUUGGACACUGUCUUUCGUUACAAUCAAAUCGCCCUCUUCUUCUUCAAGUUUUUUUACGAAAUUGUUAAAGCAACAAGGAUAACGUAAUUGAUUUAAUGUUCCACAUACUAAAUCUCUUGAAACAGAAGAUGCAAAACCCAAGAGGCACUCCAUCAAUUUGUUCCACCAAAUGCAACUUUCUUUUACUUGAACAAGAGAAGAUGAAUACUCCAUAGUUAGUUUUAUAAUUAUAUUUAGAUGUAUUAGAAAAUAAAAGAUUUUAAGAUCGCAUUACAUAUUGGAGUACGUCACUUUUAUAGUAAAAUUACAGAAAAGGUUAUGAUAUUAUGUUUAGUAAUUAGAUUUAAUGUUUCAUACCUUAUAUAAUAAUUAUUGGACAUAGAAAUAAAAAUAAAUCUAAUAACUUUAAUGAUUACUUUUAAAAGUUCAUGUGUGAUAAGAUUUUUAAAUUUCCUUUUCAUCACUUAGAAAAUUUUAUCAAAUAUAUUUAUUUUUAAAUAAUUUUGUUUCAAAAAAUUCUUAUCCUCCCUAAAAAAAAUUAUAUUUAAACAUGUGCUUAAAUGACACCCAAAUAGAUCAAAAGAUUUGUUAAGUAGAAAAAAAAAGUGUACGAGUAAAAAAUGUAUUUAACCAAAACUUAAAAUAUGCAUUAUAUAUAAAAUUAAUAUUAUAUAUAUUUUGUAAGUUUAAUUUUAUUAAUAUUUAUUUAAAUUUAUACAAGCUCUUAGAUAUAGCACUUUUUGAUAAAUUUGCAAAUAGGAGAAUAACAAAUGUUGGUAAUUUCUAAAUCAGAAUAUUUUUCCAAGAUUCUUGGAGUAGAAUAACAUAUAAAACGAUACAAGGUUCAAGAAAAAGUCAUCAAUUUUCAGAGUUUGAUAGAGGUGUUCGUAAAGCAGAGAAUUAGAGUUUUCUUAGUGUUUUAUUUUCUUCAUUAUAAUCCUUUAAAUUUGUCUCCAUAUGGAAGGUUAAACCCCUUAGGAUUCAUUUUCUUGUGUUUUUGCAAUAAAUUGAGGUUUAUGUUCUAUAAAAUUGUAUUCUUAAAUUCUCUAUAGCAAAUUGUGUUUUAUUGUUAGUCUUUUUGGAAUGUGGUUUUUGUCAAAAUAUUUGUUUUUUAACGCUUAUUGAGAAUUUAGCUAAUUUCUUUAAUUUGAUUCGCUUAGUCUUAAUCAAUGUCUUGUUUGCUUAAUUGAAGAGGUAGAAGAUAAACAUCUAACAAGUAGACAUUGAAACUUGUGAGAUACUGAAUACAUCAGUGGACACUUGUUUUGGUGAUAUUUAAUUAAUUACCAAGUUUUGGAUAUCAAUUUUAGAAUCUAAAAUAGUUGGUGGCUAAAACCUUGGUAGCUAAUUAAAUAUUAAUUUAAAAACUAAUUUAUAAAUUUAGAAACUACUUUAACUACCAAUAAUUCUUUUAAUUUCUAAAAUAUUACUUAAUUUAUUCAAUAUAGUGACUAAUUAUUUUUUGUUUCUAAAAAUAAUUUCUAAAAUUAGUCUAUUUAAUAAUUUUCUUGUAGUGCAUAUUAUGAUUAAUAUAAAAUGACAUGUGAUUUUUAUUUUUUUUAAUUAAAUAAUGUGUUGGAUAACAAAGGACUAUCAUUGUCACUUACAUCAAUGACAAUGACGACAAUUCCUUGAUCGUUGUAGAUGUUGACGUGAAAGUAAUAGGUAAGUAUGACAAUCUUGUUAUCCAACACAUUUUUAAUAAAAGCAAUAAGAAUCACUUCUGAUACAUUAACAAUAAUAUCAUUUUGUAUGUACUAUACAACAUACAUUUUUAACAUGUGGAAACAAAUAAGAUGUCGAAUCAAAAUAAUAGUCAUGUCACUUUAUUAAUGAAAAAUAAACGACAAAAACUCAAUUAAAAAUAUAUUUUUUUAAUUAAAAGUAUCUAAAAAGAUACUUGAAAUUUAAUUAAGUCUAAAAUAAAUGAUUUUUUUUAGCUCAUUACAUAUACUUAGCUACAUUGAACUGAGUGAGUUAGACUAGGUACUUUAUGAGUUCUUCUCAAAUUAAACCAAGACUCGAGUGCUUUAAAAAUUCUACACAAACUUCUAUUGUUUUGAAAGCCUUACAUUAUCACUGUUUGUUAAAUCACACAUGCAAUUUCAUUAAAAACCGUUAAUAUAGGUAUAAUUCAAUUUCAUUAAAAACAAUUAAUAUAAGUAUAAUUUGUGAGAAUAUUAAGAAGUAUGAUUGUAUUUUACUCACCCAUUCAUUAUUCACAUCAUGAUGAUUGGAUGUGAUUUUUAAUAAAAAUUUCCAAUGUAAAAAGUGUUUGAAUGUUUUUUCCUACACUUUUAUACCUUCUUCGGGCAUCCGUAUUUACAAGUAAGGUCAAAAUAUCAUUUUAUCCUUAAAAAUAUACUUCUGAAUUUUACAAUUUGAAAGUGUUAUUUUUUCUAUGUUCGAAAUAAUUCAAAAGGUAUAAUGCUUUUCAGAUUUUACAAUUUAAAAUAUAUUUUUUUCUUUAAAAAAAUUUAUUCUGAAAUACAUAAUCCAAAAGUUUUCCUAAAUAUGAUAAUAGCUUUCCUAAAUAUGAUAAUAGCUUUCAGAUUGUACAAUUCAUAACAAUCUAUUACUAUAAUAUUCAGAUUGUCCAAUCCAAAAGAUAUUUUCAAAUCCGAAAAUACUUUUCAAAUUCUACAAUCUAAAUAUAAUUUUAAAAUAUAUUUUGGAUUGUACAAUUUAAAAUUAUCCUUACAAAAUAAAGUCCAAAAUACAUUAUAAUAAAGAGUAUUAUAGAUUUUAUAAUCCAAUAUAAUAAAAAAAAUAAACGAAUGGAAAAUUCUAAUAUGUACUCGUAAUGUUAGGGUUGGAAUUAAAAAAAAAAUAUGGAAAUUUAGGAGAAAGAAAAAACGUGUAGGGAAGAAACAUGUGUGUUCCCUAAUUGAUAAUGGAAUAUGAAAUAUAGAUCAUGAAUGUUUCUCGCUGCCGCAUUUUUAUUAAAUAUCAUUUUUAAAUGGGAAGAGAUAUAAAAACAGUGUAUUAUAAUAGUUAAAAUUAAUAUAAUAAAACUAAAAGUUGUAUUGUCUGAUGGAAAAAUACAUUAAUAUAUAAAAAAAAUAUUUAUAAAAUUUAAAAGAUAUUACGAUUACUUUAUUUUAACAGGAUUUAUAUAUGUACGAAAUAAAUAAGAGCAAAAAUAUCUUUAAAAAUAGUGUAAGAAAAAGUAUCCGUCUUAUAUAUUAUCAAUGGAAAUAUAGAGACCGAUGAACAAUAUUUUUUAUUACGUUAAAAAUAAAUAACCUUCUAAGAAUAAUUUUAAAAAUAUAUGAUAAUUAUUUUUAAGAAAAAUUAUUAUAUAAUUGUUUUUAGUAGAGAAACUAUAUACUUACUUAUUUACUAAAAAAAUUAUUUAAUUUAUUAAAAGAUAAAAUUAUCUAAUUAAAAAAUGACAAAAAAUAGUUAUAAAAAAUAUUUUCUGAUACAAAUUGUUAAUAAUAGUAAAUUAAUUAACCCUAAUAAUAAAAAAAAGUGAUAAUAAAUAAAUAAUGAAAAAAAUAAUAUUGAUAAUAUAAUAAAGAAUAAUAACAAUAAAAAAUUUACUUAUUUUUAUUUUAAUUUAAAUAAUUUAAAAAUAAUAAUUUCUACUCUUUUUAUUUUCUCAAUUAACACUGUUUUAUAUUUGUUCUCUCAUUUUUUUAUUUCAUUAAUUUAUUUUCCCCCUAUUUGGUUUCUCAAGGCAACUUGUAAGGCUGCAAAAUUCCUUCUGAUCAAGUGAAAAAAAUCAAAUUCUCAAAUCCAAUUUAUAUUUAUUUAAAUUUAUAUUAUUUUAAGUUUAUUUAAAUAGAUUUAUUUGAAAUCCAAUUUUUAUUUUUACAUUUUAACUUCAAUCUAUUUUAAUUGGCGUUGGAAGGAAUAUUGAAUAGUUUUUAAUUUUGAAAAUCUAAAAUCACGUAAGUCUAAAUCAUUUUAAGUUAUAAAAAACUAAGUUGAGCUAAACCCAAGUAAAAUAUUACUGGAUCGGACUCAUGUAAGAUCAGCCCAAGUUGAUCCGAGCUCAACAAUUGAGCUCAAUCCAUUCAGUUCUAGUUCAAUCAAGUUGUGUUGUGUCCAAAUCAAACGAAGCAUGAUUGGAUUAGGUUAGGUUAAUCCUAGAUAGAGUCGAUUUUGCCUAAGUCCAAGUCAACUAAGACUUUGGUAAGAUUAAAACGGACUAGUUAAGUCGAAACAAGUCAAGUUGCGUUUAUAUUCAAUCAAUACAUCGGAUCCAUAUUGAGUUGAAACCAUGUUUAACUAAAUUGAGUUAAUUCCACGAUAAGUCAAUUAGGUUGAUCUCACCUCAGAUUUAAGUAAAUUUAAUCUAAAGUUAAUCCAUUUCAAAAAUUAAUUAAAAAAAUUCAAAAUCAAUUUAAUUUAGUUAAAAUAGAUAUGUAUUUUAAUUUUGAAAAUUUUCCACGCAUGAUCCUCCGAACUUCUCAUCACACUUUUCCCUCCCAUCCAGCUAUUCCCAUUUUGAACUCUAUCGUCCAUGUGGUUGUUUAUACUGAGUUUUCACAAAUGUUUGAGUAUUUGUAAUAAAAGUUGUUUAUAAUAGUUAUUUAUAAAUAAAAUUAUUAUUUUAAUGUAACUUCUAUCCAUAUAAAUGGUUUAAAUUUAAAAAUAAUUAUUUAUAAAUUAAAGGGAGUUAUUAUUUUAGAAGAAAAAGAGAGUAGGUGAAGUAAAACAAAAGUGCAAAUAGAAGUCUUAAUUUAUGGGAAAAUAAGAAAGAUUCAGCUAAUACAAAUUGUUUUUUCAGAUCUCGCAUAAAAAACAGAGUAUCUAGUGUUUUGAUCCACAAGAUGAAGCAGAUAUAGUUGUCUGAACCUGUUCAUGGUUCAUAUCUAACUAAUUUGGAAGAAGAGGAAAGAUAUGAAAUAUUACCUUCUUUAACUAAUAUGUAGAGAGAGAUGAAAGAAAGAAGUGGUGAUCCAUCACUUCAAUACAAGAGAAGCUGAAACGUUACGUUUCUGCACAAACAUAAACACAAACACAUUAUCUACAACUUCAAUUGAAAAGGAAUCGAUUAGAAAUUGAAAACAAAGCAGAAGUUAACUUCACGCUGAUGCAUACCUCCACAGAGAUGAAAGUACUCCAUUGCUUGAUUCAUACAUGCACAGAGAUGAAAGGAAUCCAUUGGUUGAAUGAAGAACAGAGUAAAACAGAGAAUCCUGCAAGAGAUAAGAAUGAAAGCAGAGAAGUGAACCCAACCACACCUUUUGGCUAUCAGAGUCACAAUCGGUUUUACAAUUCAAGUAUUUGUGAAAAGAAUACAUGUGGAUUUGUUUUAUACAUGUAGUUUAAGUAAAAUUAUUUAAAAAUAAUUCUUCAAAAUAAAGACUCAGAUAAUACAAUUCAAAUAAAAUUUCGCACUAAAAUAUAAAUGUAAAUAAAUUUGCUCUUUCAAAAAAAAAUUUAAAAUAAAUUGCACACAAGUUCAAAAAAAUUAAUAUUUCUAAAAAUAAUUUUAAUUUCACAAGUCUAAAUAGAAAUAUUUAAAUAUAUAAAAUUAAAUUCUAAAUAAUUUUUCAGCGUUUAAUAUUUCUCUAGCAGAUACAAUAAUUAACGGGUAAGGGGUAUUUGUGGAUAAUAUGAUACCCUUAUCCUUAGAGUGAAUAAUUAAAAUAUCCAUACAUAUUAUUUAUGGAUAACUAUUAUUUGGAACGCAGUUUUUUCAACACUUUCUUUGAAAAAAUCUUUGAUGUUUGAGAAACUUUUACAAAAUCUUUGUGAAAGAAGAAAAAAAAAUGUAAACAUUCAUUAUAAGAAAAAAAAAAUAUUUAGAAGUUUGAUGUAAUGUUCAAAACUUUAAUUUGUUGUAAAUAUUUGAUUAAGUCCUAUAUUUUGUUUUUCAUGUAUACUACACCAAGUUUCCUUAACAAUUUUAUUAUGAUAAUCUUUUAACUUUUCUACCAAAGUAGAUACGAUGUACAUUAUCUUUUAUUACAUGUCUCGUGAAUUUAUGGUUGAUGGUAAAUAAUUGAAAUCUUUAUUAAUUUUAUUGAGGUACAUUGUCCAAGUUCUGUGAAAAUAAUAUUAUGCCAAAAAAUAAACAGAAAAUUUUCUUACUCUUGACUAUUUAAAAUAAGUGGGAAAUUUUUAAUAAGUUACACUUGUUAUCAAUCUUGUUUUUCAGAUUUUUUUCAUAAUUUUUUAUUUAAUCUUUGCUGGGUUUAUUAUUGUAGAGCAUAAAGAUAAUUUUGGUUGCAUAUGGCUAAGACAGUGAAAUGUUGAAUAUAAGUGAUUGCUGCAUUAGAAGAAAGAGGAAUGCCAAAUGGGCUAAUGUAACACUCAAUGCAACUCCUUUUUCUUUUUUCUCAAACAUAAUAUUGUUGGAAUCAUAUCCACAGAGAAACAUGGUGAACUCAUUAAGACAUACAUAAAAUAAAUAUAAGGUAUUACAAAAUGACAAUGGCACUCAUUGAAGGAAGGAACAUAAAAGAAAUGGUUUUUGUAGUUUUGUCUCACCAAGACCAACCUCUUACACAACAAUAAAUAAGAUAGCAAACAUACAACAAAAUAGAACAAGCAAAAGACAGAACAAUAUUCUAUAGUUGCAAGUCUUCCUUUUGAGUGAUGAACAAUUCGGUCUUUAAUAACAGUGAACAAUGAAAAUUCUCAUGAGAGAUUUCUAGCAGCCAUGCGAUUAUACUCAUAUUGACUACAGAGAAAUGACCAUUUAUAAGUCACCUCAAAUAACUUUUGUUGAACUUUUCUUUCAUCUUCCACCAUUUGAGACCGGUCUUUCCUCACAUUUUCAAGCUCCAUUUUAUACCCAAUAGUUUCUACAAUCCUUUUAUUUUUCCUCUUCCAGAGAUGAUAAGGCAUCCUCACAAACUUUUAUUUCUUCCUUCAACCUAAUGAUUUGUUCCUUCAAAACUACUUCCUUCAGUUGAGCUUCAUCAUAGAAAUUCCUUGCCUCGGAAAUUUUGGAACCAAGAGUAGUGGCCACCUCAUUCCCACGAGCUUCAAGUUCUGCUAACUUGUCAGUGGUAGCAAAGCCUUGCUUAAAGGAGUGUACAAUGCUUGGGAACUCUUGCUGCAUAGUGCCUAUAAUAUCUUUGAGUCCAUCUGAUAGAGUUACAUCUUUGAAAGGAAGGUUGGACAGGAAAUUAAGAGCAGACAAAAGGCUAAUGCUGUUAGUCUCAGAGCUAACUAUGUCCUUCAAAGACAUCUUUAUAUACUUUUCCAACUCAAGAAGGGUCUUUCCAACUAUGUUGUCUUCACCCUCUUUCCCCAC
rnacentral:lncRNA from 1 species